rnacentral:lncRNA from 12 species
AAAUGAGAUAGUUAGCGUAUUUGUGCAUAAAACUGUGUUGUAUUUCUGGUGAUUUCCUUAGGCUAGAUUCCCAGAAGAGGACUUUCUGGGUCAAAGGGUGGGUUAAUACUCCUGAUGUAUGCUGCAAGAUUGACUUCCAAAAAGGCUGUAGCCAUUUCCAUGCCUGACACAAUGCAAGGAAAUGUCUAUGGAACGGGCAAAAACCUACACUGGAAAAGGUGAAAUCCUACAGUUAAAGGGGAUUAUAGUACGAGGGACUCCUGCAUCCUGCCCCAAACAGCACCAGAAUUUGCAUUUUCCAGCCAGAUAAGCUGGAAAACUUCAAUGGUUACAUAACUUAGAAGGACUUAUCAGACGAUGCUCCAAGGACAGCGAAUUUGACUGAACAUGUCAACAAGGGAUAGCUCACAUUCUCACAAAAAGAUAAAAUAUUCAUGUCGGGAGAGUUGAGAGAAUGCUAUUAAUCAAGUCUCCUCAUUGUUCAGGGUGGGAUCUAGCAUCCCAAAAUAAGAAGAUAUUAACCCAAUUGUCUUUGACAUCUGAUAAGUCAUGGAUACCUAUUUUUCUCAACUUUUGGGGAUGUCUCAGGAGAUUUGAGUCUGGGAUUCUUCGAUGAGGUAUGCCAUCUGGUUAAUGAGGGAUUCUGGGUUCAAACUUUGUUAGAAAGAAAAGUAACAACUACCGUAAU